rnacentral:rRNA from 2 species
CUUUAUUGGAGAGUUUGAUCCUGGCUCAGGAUGAACGCUGGCGGCGUGCCUAAUACAUGCAAGUCGAGCGAAUGGAUUAAGAGCUUGCUCUUAUGAA